UUGACAUCCUGGGGACGGAAGUCUUCUCUUUAUCCACAGAAAACAGGUACAGCACAGGCGGCUACAGUUCAAUCUUCCCCACCAACGCACUUCAAACCUGAACCAAAGGGGGGCCCACAUCUAGGAGAGAGAAGAGAGUAGGUUCUCCGUGGUUCAUUCAGUCCAUGUCCUCU
rnacentral:sRNA from 1 species